UCAUUCUCCACUUCAAAAAGAAGCCCAUAAAAAAGAGAAGCAGACUUUACCCUCUUUUAAGCUUCUCAAAACUCUCUCUACCCUCUCUGUAUAUAUGAGUUUUUGUUUUGUUUCAUCAGAAUUAUAGGGGAAAUCCAAUCUAAAUAGUUUUGCUCGACAAGGAGGAGAGAGCAAAAAUUGCAGUAAUAGAAGAAGAUGGAUGUAAUUGUCAUUUCAUUGCCUUUGGUCAUAUUGAUAUUGAUCGUAGCCGUUGUUUGUUAUCUAUGUGGAAGAUCUUGUUAAUCAAUGAUACAUAGACUACUAUGAACCCUACGAAGAAGAAGAAGUUCAAAGAGAAGGACAAAUGUAAUCUUAUUUACUAAUGCGUAUUGAAAUAGAAAAGUAUGUUUAAGCAGAUUCAGAUUCAGGAGUCCAGAAAUUUAUUAUAUGUAAGUGAAUUUCUCAACUAAUAAUAUAUGAUAUGGAUCAAAGUUAUUGAGUUCUGUCGAA